rnacentral:rRNA from 1 species
UACAACUUUCAACAACGGAUCUCUUGGCUCUCGCAUCGAUGAAGAACGCAGCGAAAUGCGAUAAGUAAUGUGAAUUGCAGAUUUUCAGUGAAUCAUCGAAUCUUUGAACGCNCCUUGCGCU